AUCCCCCUUCCCUUUCUGUCCCCCUUUGUCCUUCCCUUCUUCGUUUCUUCCUCUUGCUUGAAACAGUGCCAGUGUAGCCCAGGUUGAACUUGAGUCGGCUUCUGAUGCUCUUGCCAGCACCUAGUCCGUGCUGGGGUUACAGGCAUGUCCCAGCGUACCCCAGUACCUAGUCCGUGCUGGGGUUACAGGCGUGUCCCGGCGUACCCAGUUUACCCGGUUUAUUUGUUGUUUUUAACAUCCUUGUUUGAGAAAGACAACUUGCGUUAUGCCUUCAGGCCUUUCCAGCUUUAUCAGUUGUUUUGAUGUUCCUUGACUCCCAGUCAGCAAGGAAACCAAACUAAAAUUGAGGGGGAGGGGCUUCGUUCCCUCUCCCGUCCCCUUAAACGGCUUUCUAUCCUGCCUCAGAUGCGUGGACCACCACCGGCUUUAGUAGCACCAUAUUCCAGAACACAGGGAUGGUGUCUCAAAGAGGAGGAUCUCAUCAUUGUCCAACAAAUCGGCUUUUCCCUUUUUUUUUUUCUUUCUUUCGGCUUUUCCCUUUAAUCUACUCCCCCGCCUCAUCUCAAAUUCCAGGAACCAGGAGCCUUUGAGGGUGGGGGUGGGAUUCCCCCCACCCCCCACCUCCCCAGUGCUUGAAGGACCCCGAGACCAGAGGUCUAUUGUCAGUAUCCACAGCCAGGCAAGAGGAUGCUGGUCUCCCUGCUCUUUUCAAUAUGGCCUGACUGUAUAAAUUCCUUUUCGGCUUCAUCACUCUCUUUCCCAUUUGGUCCUGUGGGACAAACAAGAAACAUCUGAAGAAGCAGGACAGGAGCUGUGUUCUGGGGCCUGGGAACAUGAACUCAGUUUUGACUCUGUCAGCCAGGUGGACCUCAGGAAAUCCCCUCCUGACACAUCAAGGCCUGCUGUCUUCCAGUUGCCCUGUAGCAGUUCUGCAGGCUUCUUCCCAGCAAAGUCAGCAUCCUCCAGCAGAGUUCCAAAGUUCCGUGUCCUCUCCAGCUGCCUUUACUCCUCCGUGGAACCGAACCACAAGCAGGGGCUCCCUUCUCCAGGACCUUGGGCAAUGGGAGGAGGGACUGGAAGCCAGUGUGAUGCAGUCUACAGAAGAAAUCCCAGAGACAAGGCCCUGACAUGAUACGGUCUAGGGUGCUCCAUUGGAUUUGUUAUCUCUCCAGGUGAAGAGUUAAAAGGCAGGAAAAAAAAUCUGAAACAAGUGGCAGAGAAAUCUCAAGCACUGUAGACCAGACUAGCAGUUAAAGAAAGGUGUUUAAUGGGGGACCGGGGAGGACCACAUGCACACAGCAGAUAAGCAGAGCAGUGGAGGGGGUUAUCUCAGGUCUUAGAAAGACAGAAACCAGGGGCUGGGGAUUUAGCUCAGCGGUAGAGCGCUUGCCUAGGAAGCACAAGGCCC
rnacentral:sRNA from 1 species